GGAGCGGUAGUUCAGUUGGUUAGAAUACCUGCCUGUCACGCAGGGGGGCGCGGGUUCGAGUCCCGUCCGUUCCGCCA
rnacentral:tRNA from 172 species